GACGAACGCUGGCGGCGUGCUUAACACAUGCAAGUCGAACGGAAAGGCCCUGCUUUUGUGGGGUGCUCGAGUGGCGAACGGGUGAGUAACACGUGAGUAACCUGCCCUUGACUUUGGGAUAACUUCAGGAAACUGGGGCUAAUACCGGAUAGGAGCUCCUGCUGCAUGGUGGGGGUUGGAAAGUUUCGGCGGUUGGGGAUGGACUCGCGGCUUAUCAGCUUGUUGGUGGGGUAGUGGCUUACCAAGGCUUUGACGGGUAGCCGGCCUGAGAGGGUGACCGGCCACAUUGGGCCUGAGAUACGGCCCAGACUCGUACGGGCGGCAGCGGGGGGGAAUAUUGCGCAAUGGGCGGAAGCCUGAGGCAGCAGCGUCGCGUUCGGGAUGACGGGCUUCGGGUUGUAAACCGCUGUCGCCUGUGACGAAGCGUGAGUGACGGUAAUGGGUAAAGAAGCACCGGCUAACUACGUG
rnacentral:rRNA from 1 species